rnacentral:tRNA from 1 species
GGAGAGAUGGCCGAGCGGUUUAAGGCACCGGUCUUGAAAACCGGCGAAGGUUCACCCCUUCCGUGGGUUCGAAUCCCACUCUCUCCGCCA